rnacentral:sRNA from 1 species
AAAGACCUGAAUAUGGCGAAGUCAGUCACAUAUAUGGGGCUCCUCGGCGCUCAGGGUAUUUGUUGUUAAACAAUGGCGGCAGCUACUACUCCCUGCCAGAGGGCAUUCCCCACACCAUCGCACUCCUGCCAGGUGCUGUUUACACAUGCUCCCAUAACAAGGACGACUCUGCAGUCCAAGUUGCAGUGGCAUAAACGUGAACGAAGCACCAACAUUGUAAUUAAAUCUGCGUCAACAUAAGCGCUGCCAGCUGCACAAAUGGCUAGAGCAAAAAUGGCCAAGGAGGAUGCUCACUUGUUGGCCCAGACAGGUGGGCAUACGGGACUCACUGGGAUGAGCCCACCGUUCUGACUAGACACAGUCAAAA